GAUGAACGCUGGCGGCGUGCCUAAUACAUGCAAGUCGAGCGAACAGACGAGGAGCUUGCUCCUCUGACGUUAGCGGCGGACGGGUGAGUAACACGUGGAUAACCUACAUAUAAGACUGGGAUAACUUCGGGAACCCGGAGCUAAUACCGGAUAAUAUAUUGAACCGCAUGGUUCAAUAGUGAAAGACGGUUUUGCUGUCACUUAUAGAUGGAUCCGCGCCGCAUUAGCUAGUUGGUAAGGUAACGGCUUACCAAGGCAACGAUGCGUAGCCGACCUGAGAGGGUGAUCGGCCACACUGGAACUGAGACACGGUCCAGACUCCUACGGGAGGCAGCAGUAGGGAAUAUUCCGCAAUGGGCGAAAGCCUGACGGAGCAACGCCGCGUGAGUGAUGAAGGUCUUCGGAUCGUAAAACUCUGUUAUUAGGGAAGAACAAAUGUGUAAGUAACUAUGCACGUCUUGACGGUACCUAAUCAGAAAGCCACGGCUAACUACGUG
rnacentral:rRNA from 1 species